CAUAUGUAGCACUCAAGUCUAAAGUUGUUCCAUCACAGAAAGCCAGAGACAAACCACACGAACCAUGGGUGUACCUCGAGAAGAAAAAUGGUACUGUGUAUUGUGCACACUGUACAUGUAUGGCAGGGCUAGGUGAAGUAUGUAGCCAUAUAGCAGCACUUCUUUUUAAAGUAGAAAUGGCAGUAAAAAUGGGGUUGACACAGAACAGUUCAACGAGUCAAGCUUGCCAGUGGAACAGUACAUUUCGAAAGGAAGUUACACCGGCAACAGUGACAGAAAUAUAUGGUCAAAUUAAGGGCAAGCGAACCAAAGAGAUUGCUUCUUUUCAAGCUACUGGGACUACUCCUUUACCACCUUUAGAGGUCCUGGAAGAGCUUUAUUCAAUUGUACCAAAUGCAUCCUUUUUUACAUCCGUUUCCAUUCCAAAUCAGCUUUAUGCCAGUACACCAGUCAAGGUUGUAGAAAAGUACCCUAAGUUAUUGGCUAGCAUUACAAAUGAUCUCAGUGAUUCAACAGAUAUUAAAUACGAUGAGAUAUAUGAUAAUUAUAGUGUUUCCGACUAUCAAGCAAACAAUUUAGAAUCGGCAACACGAAAUCAAUCAAUUAGUCCCCUGUGGUAUCAGCAUAGGAUGGGCCUUGUAACAGCUUCGAGGGCCCAUGAUAUUCAAACUAGGAAAGAA